AUAAAUAAGGAACGUGUAAAGAAGUAUCAGCCGUGUCCAAGUUGGGACACAAAAUGUUCAUAUUUUCUUUCUUUUUGCAAAACGGCCCCAACACCCCACCCCAAUACUUUAUGUAAAUUUGGAUUCGGCCCGACACCGUGUCCGAGCCGUGUCUUGGCGAGUCCGCGCGAGUCGGGUGUCCGACACUUGGACUCUUCAGGUUUUUGAAGAGUCCGUGCAUCCUAG
rnacentral:lncRNA from 1 species